ACAAUUAAAUUUAUAGUAAGAGGAAAAUCCGUUGACUUUUUAAAUCGUGAG
rnacentral:tRNA from 1 species